UUCGGUGGUCAUGGCGGAGGGGGAACACCCGGUCCCAUCCCGAACCCGGCAGUUAAGCCCUCCAGCGCCGAUGGUACUGCCCGGGCGACCGGGUGGGAGAGUAGGUCGCCGCCGGGA
rnacentral:rRNA from 1 species